GGGCAAUGGCCUGACGCGAUGUCUGAUUAGCUAGUUGGUGAGGUAAAGGCUCACCAAGGCGACGAUCAGUAGCUGGUCUGAGAGGACGACCAGCCACACUGGGACUGAGACACGGCCCAGACUCCUACGGGAGGCAGCAGUGGGGAAUUUUGGACAAUGGGGGAAACCCUGAUCCAGCCAUGCCGCGUGAGUGAAGAAGGCCUUCGGGUUGUAAAGCUCUUUCAGCCGGAACGAAACGGUCACGGCUAAUACCCGUGACUACUGACGGUACCGGAAGAAGAAGCACCGGCUAACUACGUGCCAGCAGCCGCGGUAAUACGUAGGGUGCGAGCGUUAAUCGGAAUUACUGGGCGUAAAGCGUGCGCAGGCGGUUUUGUAAGUCAGAUGUGAAAUCCCCGGGCUUAACCUGGGAACUGCGUUUGAAACACAAAAGCUAGA
rnacentral:rRNA from 1 species